rnacentral:sRNA from 1 species
ACACGGGAAAGGAGGUGAUCCGAUCAGAUGAAGAACGAUUGGAUGCGUGAGGUGGCUGCUCGCUAGCAGCUUCCCCAACUAUGGAUGGGGGCUGGCAAUUCACAAGCAGCCACCCGACCCGCAGGCGUACCGGACUCAUCCCCCCGGGUUGGCCUCUUGGCCCGUCUGCGGGUCGCCCCGU